CGAAAUAAACGGUUAAAAAAAAAGAAAUCGUAUAGAAGGCCAGAGAAUGUAAAGUUUGCUGUUGGGAUGAUAGUUAAACAUGGUAAAGAGGUGGGUGUGAUCGUCGGAUGGGACAGAUAUGAUAUUGAUAGAAGUGAUACAAUCUCUUUAGACGUUACACAGAACUUAGACAAUACAUGGAACGUGAAUCGAUAUGCAAUGUUGUUGUAUCAAUUUUUUCGUGAAUUUACAGCAACAAUUAAAUUUGUACAUCAACAAAUAUAUUACAUUAUUCUCACUGAAGAUAAUAGACUUCGUAAAGUAGAAGAAGCAAAUUACGUGCAAAUGGAUAUCAAAUUGCCAAAAAUAUGCCAGUGAUGUGAUAGUGACAGCCAUAUGCUUGUGGAAUAUGCUCAUCUUGCAUGCUUAUAACGAGAUGAAAUUGCGUGCAAAGUGUGCUAGCAUUUGCUAUCACUAUGACGACGCACUAGGAUAAGGUUUUGCUUGCGCAAUA